UGUAAUGAAUUUUGCCAAGCGCAUUGAGCGGCUUUGAUACAUAAUAAAGUAAUUCAAAAUAUCAUUCCCCUCUAAAGUCAUGGACAAUAUUCGCCUUUGGGUUACAAAUUUACACGAUGACCACGAUUUUACCUAUAUUGAUUCAAUACAUUUCGGUGUUUAUUAUCAACUUCCGUUAUAGCUAUCUCGUUACUUAACAAUGAUUUAUCGUUGCUUAUUAUAUAAAUUUAUAAAUUAAAUUACUCUAUAAUAUUGUUUCGAAAUUUCCACUUAAUACCUUAAUCAACU